AAAUAGAUACCCGGGUAGUCCACGCCGUAAACGAUGUCGACUUGGAGGUUGUGCCCUUGAGGCGUGGCUUCCGGAGCUAACGCGUUAAGUCGACCGCCUGGGGAGUACGGCCGCAAGGUUAAAACUCAAAUGAAUUGACGGGGGCCCGCACAAGCGGUGGAGCAUGUGGUUUAAUUCGAUGCAACGCGAAGAACCUUACCUACUCUUGACAUCCAGAGAACUUAGCAGAGAUGCUUUGGUGCCUUCGGGAACUCUGAGACAGGUGCCGCAUGGCUGUCGUCAGCUCGUGUUGUGAAAUGUUGGGUUAAGUCCCGCAACGAGCGCAACCCUUAUCCUUUGUUGCCAGCGGUUUAGGCCGGGUAACUCAAAGGAGACUGCCAGUGAUAAACUGGAGGAAGGUGGGGAUGACGUCAAGGUCAUCAUGGCCCUUACGAGUAGGGCUACACACGUGCUACAAUGGCGCAUACAAAGAGAAGCGACCUCGCGAGAGCAAGCGGACCUCAUAAAGUGCGUCGUAGUCCGGAUUGGAGUCUGCAACG
rnacentral:rRNA from 1 species